rnacentral:rRNA from 1 species
GGUCAGUAGGUUGGUCGUGCCACCGGUACGUACUGGUCUCACUGAUUCCUCCUUCCUGAAGAACCGUAAUGCCAUUAAUUUGGUGUUGCGGGGAAACAGGACUGUUACUCUGAAAAAAUUAGAGUGUUUAGAGCAAGCUAACGCUUGAACACAUUAGCAUGGAAUAAUGAAAUAGGACGAUCGAUCCUAUUUUGUUGGUUUCUAGGAUUGACGUA